rnacentral:rRNA from 1 species
UUAAGUUAUUAAGGGCGCACGGUGGAUGCCUUGGCACUAGAAGCCGAUGAAGGACGUUACUAACGACGAUAUGCUUUGGGGAGCUGUAAGUAAGCUUUGAUCCAGAGAUUUCCGAAUGGGGAAACCCAGCAUGAGUUAUGUCAUGUUAUCGAUAUGUGAAUACAUAGCAUAUCAGAAGGCACACCCGGAGAACUGAAACAUCUUAGUACCCGGAGGAAGAGAAAGAAAAUUCGAUUCCCUUAGUAGCGGCGAGCGAAACGGGAAGAGCCCAAACCAACAAGCUUGCUUGUUGGGGUUGUAGGACACUCUAUACGGAGUUACAAAGGACGACAUUAGACGAAUCAUCUGGAAAGAUGAAUCAAAGAAGGUAAUAAUCCUGUAGUCGAAAAUGUUGUCUCUCUUGAGUGGAUCCUGAGUACGACGGAGCACGUGAAAUUCCGUCGGAAUCUGGGAGGACCAUCUCCUAAGGCUAAAUACUCUCUAGUGACCGAUAGUGAACCAGUACCGUGAGGGAAAGGUGAAAAGCACCCCGGAAGGGGAGUGAAAUAGAACCUGAAACCGUGUGCUUACAAGUAGUCAGAGCCCGUUAAUGGGUGAUGGCGUGCCUUUUGUAGAAUGAACCGGCGAGUUACGAUUUGAUGCAAGGUUAAGCAGUAAAUGUGGAGCCGUAGCGAAAGCGAGUCUGAAUAGGGCGUUUAGUAUUUGGUCGUAGACCCGAAACCAGGUGAUCUACCCUUGGUCAGGUUGAAGUUCAGGUAACACUGAAUGGAGGACCGAACCGACUUACGUUGAAAAGUGAGCGGAUGAACUGAGGGUAGCGGAGAAAUUCCAAUCGAACCUGGAGAUAGCUGGUUCUCUCCGAAAUAGCUUUAGGGCUAGCCUCAAGUGAUGAUUAUUGGAGGUAGAGCACUGUUUGGACGAGGGGCCCCUCUCGGGUUACCGAAUUCAGACAAACUCCGAAUGCCAAUUAAUUUAACUUGGGAGUCAGAACAUGGGUGAUAAGGUCCGUGUUCGAAAGGGAAACAGCCCAGACCACCAGCUAAGGUCCCAAAAUAUAUGUUAAGUGGAAAAGGAUGUGGCGUUGCCCAGACAACUAGGAUGUUGGCUUAGAAGCAGCCAUCAUUUAAAGAGUGCGUAAUAGCUCACUAGUCGAGUGACACUGCGCCGAAAAUGUACCGGGGCUAAACAUAUUACCGAAGCUGUGGAUUGUCCUUUGGACAAUGGUAGGAGAGCGUUCUAAGGGCGUUGAAGCAUGAUCGUAAGGACAUGUGGAGCGCUUAGAAGUGAGAAUGCCGGUGUGAGUAGCGAAAGACGGGUGAGAAUCCCGUCCACCGAUUGACUAAGGUUUCCAGAGGAAGGCUCGUCCGCUCUGGGUUAGUCGGGUCCUAAGCUGAGGCCGACAGGCGUAGGCGAUGGAUAACAGGUUGAUAUUCCUGUACCACCUAUAAUCGUUUUAAUCGAUGGGGGGACGCAGUAGGAUAGGCGAAGCGUGCGAUUGGAUUGCACGUCUAAGCAGUAAGGCUGAGUAUUAGGCAAAUCCGGUACUCGUUAAGGCUGAGCUGUGAUGGGGAGAAGACAUUGUGUCUUCGAGUCGUUGAUUUCACACUGCCGAGAAAAGCCUCUAGAUAGAAAAUAGGUGCCCGUACCGCAAACCGACACAGGUAGUCAAGAUGAGAAUUCUAAGGUGAGCGAGCGAACUCUCGUUAAGGAACUCGGCAAAAUGACCCCGUAACUUCGGGAGAAGGGGUGCUCUUUAGGGUUAACGCCCAGAAGAGCCGCAGUGAAUAGGCCCAAGCGACUGUUUAUCAAAAACACAGGUCUCUGCUAAACCGUAAGGUGAUGUAUAGGGGCUGACGCCUGCCCGGUGCUGGAAGGUUAAGAGGAGUGGUUAGCUUCUGCGAAGCUACGAAUCGAAGCCCCAGUAAACGGCGGCCGUAACUAUAACGGUCCUAAGGUAGCGAAAUUCCUUGUCGGGUAAGUUCCGACCCGCACGAAAGGCGUAACGAUUUGGGCACUGUCUCAACGAGAGACUCGGUGAAAUCAUAGUACCUGUGAAGAUGCAGGUUACCCGCGACAGGACGGAAAGACCCCGUGGAGCUUUACUGUAGCCUGAUAUUGAAAUUCGGCACAGCUUGUACAGGAUAGGUAGGAGCCUUUGAAACGUGAGCGCUAGCUUACGUGGAGGCGCUGGUGGGAUACUACCCUAGCUGUGUUGGCUUUCUAACCCGCACCACUUAUCGUGGUGGGAGACAGUGUCAGGCGGGCAGUUUGACUGGGGCGGUCGCCUCCUAAAAGGUAACGGAGGCGCUCAAAGGUUCCCUCAGAAUGGUUGGAAAUCAUUCAUAGAGUGUAAAGGCAUAAGGGAGCUUGACUGCGAGACCUACAAGUCGAGCAGGGUCGAAAGACGGACUUAGUGAUCCGGUGGUUCCGCAUGGAAGGGCCACCGCUCAACGGAUAAAAGCUACCCCGGGGAUAACAGGCUUAUCUCCCCCAAGAGUUCACAUCGACGGGGAGGUUUGGCACCUCGAUGUCGGCUCAUCGCAUCCUGGGGCUGUAGUCGGUCCCAAGGGUUGGGCUGUUCGCCCAUUAAAGCGGUACGCGAGCUGGGUUCAGAACGUCGUGAGACAGUUCGGUCCCUAUCCGUCGUGGGCGUAGGAAAUUUGAGAGGAGCUGUCCUUAGUACGAGAGGACCGGGAUGGACAUACCUCUGGUGUACCAGUUGUCGUGCCAACGGCAUAGCUGGGUAGCUAUGUGUGGACGGGAUAAGUGCUGAAAGCAUCUAAGCAUGAAGCCCCCCUCAAGAUGAGAUUUCCCAACUUCGGUUAUAAGAUCCCUCAAAGAUGAUGAGGUUAAUAGGUUCGAGGUGGAAGCAUGGUGACAUGUGGAGCUGACGAAUACUAAUCGAUCGAAGACUUAAUCAA